GACGAACGCUGGCGGCGUGCUUAACACAUGCAAGUCGAACGGAAAGGCCCUGCUUUUGUGGGGUGCUCGAGUGGCGAACGGGUGAGUAACACGUGAGUAACCUGCCCUUGACUUUGGGAUAACUUCAGGAAACUGGGGCUAAUACCGGAUAGGAGCUCUUGCUGCAUGGUGGGGGUUGGAAAGUUUCGGCGGUUGGGGAUGGACUCGCGGCUUAUCAGCUUGUUGGUGGGGUAGUGGCUUACCAAGGCUUUGACGGGUAGCCGGCCUGAGAGGGUGACCGGCCACAUUGGGACUAAGAUACGGCGCAGACUCCUACGGGAGGCAGCAGUGGGGAAUAUUGCACAAUGGGCGGAAGCCUGAUGCAGCAACGCCGCGUGCGGGAUGACGGCCUUCGAGUUGUAAACCGCUUUCGCCUGUGACGAAGCGUGAGUGACGGUAAUGGGUAAAGAAGCACCGGCUAACUACGUG
rnacentral:rRNA from 1 species